AUGGACUUGCAGCACUUGCAGCCUGGAGCUGGUGUCCCUAGUGUGACAGCUGUCUCCCUAGGUAGGCUGAAGGCAGUGUCAGGGCUGUUGAAAACAUGUCUAGUCCACUACUGGACUAUUGAGGUGUUGAGAGCGUUUUUAAUUCUUAAAGACAUGGGGUUCCCCGUCUGCUUUCUCCUUCAGUGGAAACGUGAAGCCUGGCGUCCUCAUUGUGGGUGGGGUACAGGGAGAGUUUACAGUCCGGGCUGGGCCCUCCUUGGCUUUGUGACCUUCCAGAAGCCACCCAGUGCUUGGAGCUUCUGCUUCCAUGUGGUAACUGGGACGUGUGAGGGGUUUCUGUCUCCAGCACUCAGUAGGCACCUGAGAAGGGGUCACAGCAGCACUCACACUGCCAGACAGUGCGGCAUCUGCAUCCGUGCUGGGCGCCCAGCUGGGACCUCUGAAGCAGCGCCUGGUAAGGGCGCUGAUGAGGCACAGGAGCCACCAGGUACGGCCGACCUAGUGCAGUUGUGGGCCACAGGGUCGCACUGCUCCACAGCUCCCCCGCCCCCUAUUGAAAAGUGCGUUUUGUCUUGUGCCUGGAGAAAUGCGGCAGUGCCCUCCAUGCCUUGGAUUAGACUGAGGCAGCUUUUCAGUCAUUCCCCACGCCGGGUAGGUGCUGCUAGAGGGGGCUCUGUGGCCAGCCCUGCCGUUGGCCCACGCGACAUGCUGGUUCCCACACCCGUCUUCUCUGGCCAAGAGCUUGGAAGGAAGGACCCCUGGCUGCCACAGGUAUGGGCAGCUGUGCCCAGCUGGCACUGCCCUCUGGGUUGGCUCCCUGGCUCCUGCAGAGGUCAGGGAGGAGGUGCUGCCGCUCCCUUGUUUCCUGGUUGUUUCUUUCAGGCUGUCCAGUUGGCUUGCUGGGUGAGCCUUUGGUGCCCAAUUUUGCCCUCUUGUUGGGCACUGUCACUAGGCUCAGACUGUGAGCUAGCAGGGGACUGGCCUGCUGCAGGUGGUAUGUUCCAUUCUGGAGAUGGUCCCUAG
rnacentral:lncRNA from 1 species